CACCAACACUGAUUUAUUUACCCAUACACCACAAAAACCUAAAUAAAUAUCGUUACCUUUGUAAAGAAACCGCCUAAAUCAUAUUUUCUACUUUUCAGGAAAUUAGAAAAGGACUGUCAUUAUCUCAUUUGGCUUAAGAUUUAGAUAGAAAUGAAAAGGCCAAUUCUAGAACACUCAAACCCUGAAUAACGAAGGCAACUGUACAAACAUGGGCGUCACGUGUUGAAAAAUUGAUGUAGACAAAAACCUACAACAAUGCCUUCCUCUACUUUUCCAAGCCUGGUUAUGCUAUGUUGUAACUCACAUAAUGCAAAACCAAUUCAUUAAUGAAGCUAAUGAGCACCUGGUGUUUGGUUAGAUGUAGAAUCUGGGGGAACAAUCCUGUAAAAACUGUAAUGCAAAUGCUGGAUUACCUAUUUGAUAAGUUAAAUAAGUUAAUCAAUGGCAUUAUUCCUUGUUUAAAUAAAAAAAAUGGUGCUCUUUGGACUUAAUGAAAACACAGGCAGCACCAAAACAAGAUUAAAGAAUUGAAAUGAACACUAAUGUAGGAAGAAGGCUGUCGAGUGUGGACUACAAUUAGGUGUGUGACCUGUGACAAUGAAGCUAACACAAGGAAUGGUCUGGCAUGGACUGGGGAGGUGUGGAAUGGGGUGGCAUGGACUGGGGAGGUGUGGAAUGGGGUGGCAUGGACUGGGGAGGUGUGGAAUGGGCUGGCAUGGACUGGGGAGGUGUGGAAUGGGCUGGCAUGGACUGGGGAGGGGUGGAAUGGGCUGGCAUGGACUGGAGAGGCGGGUAACGGUCCCUUGAGUGCACCGACCUAAGGAAGGUGAGACCGUGCUGCAAAUCCAUCAUCUCGCCGCGCAGUUUGUCGGGCAUCACGUCCACCAGGGCCAGCUCAGAGCAGAUGUGUUGGGUGAGGA